UACGGAGGAUGCAAGCGUUAUCCGGAUUUAUUGGGUUUAAAGGGUGCGUAGGCUGUGCGGAAAGUCAGAGGUGAAAGCCCGGGGCUCAACUCCGGAACUGCCUUUGAUACUUCCGUGCUGGAAUACGGAUGCCGUGGGAGGAAUGAGUAGUGUAGCGGUGAAAUGCAUAGAUAUUACUCAGAACACCGAUUGCGAAGGCAUCUCACGAAUCCGUUAUUGACGCUGAGGCACGAAAGCGUGGGGAUCGAAC
rnacentral:rRNA from 1 species